rnacentral:rRNA from 1 species
CCUACGGGGGGCAGCAGUGGGGAAUAUUGGACAAUGGGGGGAACCCUGAUCCAGCCAUGCCGCGUGUGUGAAGAAGGCCCUCGGGUUGUAAAGCACUUUCAGUGAGGAAGAACGCCUGGUGGUUAAUACCCAUCAGGAAAGACAUCACUCACAGAAGAAGCACCGGCUAACUCCGUGCCAGCAGCCGCGGUAAUACGGAGGGUGCGAGCGUUAAUCGGAAUUACUGGGCGUAAAGCGCGCGUAGGUGGCUUGAUAAGCCGGUUGUGAAAGCCCCGGGCUCAACCUGGGAACGGCAUCCGGAACUGUCAAGCUAGAGUGCAGGAGAGGAAGGUAGAAUUCCCGGUGUAGCGGUGAAAUGUGUAGAGAUCGGGAGGAAUACCAGUGGCGAAGGCGGCCUUCUGGACUGACACUGACACUGAGGUGCGAAAGCGUGGGUAGCAAACAGGAUUAGAUACCCGAGUAGUC